rnacentral:rRNA from 1 species
AUUGAACGCUGGCGGCAGGCCUAACACAUGCAAGUCGAGCGGUAGCACAGAGAGCUUGCUCUCGGGUGACGAGCGGCGGACGGGUGAGUAAUGUCUGGGAAACUGCCUGAUGGAGGGGGAUAACUACUGGAAACGGUAGCUAAUACCGCAUAACGUCGCAAGACCAAAGUGGGGGACCUUCGGGCCUCAUGCCAUCAGAUGUGCCCAGAUGGGAUUAGCUAGUAGGUGGGGUAACGGCUCACCUAGGCGACGAUCCCUAGCUGGUCUGAGAGGAUGACCCGCCACACCGGAACUGAGACACGGUCCAGACUCCUACGGGAGGCAGCAGUGGGGAAUAUUGCACAAUGGGCGCAAGCCUGAUGCAGCCAUGCCGCGUGUGUGAAGAAGGCCUUCGGGUUGUAAAGCACUUUCAGCGGGGAGGAAGGCGGUGAGGUUAAUAACCUCAUCGAUUGACGUUACCCGCAGAAGAAGCACCGGCUAACUCCGUGCCAGCCGCCGCUGUAA